AGCCACUUUUAAAGUCAUCUUUGUAAUGUGGCUACAUUGAGACACAGGUUAUGCUUCCAUCGCAGUAAUCUUAUUACAGUGGUGACAAUGAGACCUGUAACAUUU
rfam:Myotis davidii contig220843, whole genome shotgun sequence.